AAGUGGCGAAAUUGGUAGACGCACCAGAUUUAGGUUCUGGCGCCGCGAGGCGUAAGAGUUCAAGUCUCUUCUUCCGCACCA
rnacentral:tRNA from 2 species